AUGACAAACUUGACAAAAAUGGAAAAAAGGUUCACUUGUAGUUUGGAGGGAAAAACUGUAUACAAUGAGUUUACAAAUUUACUAAACCAAAUAUUUGAUGAGUUAAUAUACGAAUUUAAAACAAAAUUUAUGGAAAAAGUAUGCAUAAAAAUUACUGAUACAAAAUUUAAUAAUUUUAUAUUAGAAAUUGAUAAAAAAAGACAGGGUAAAAAUGAUGAUAAAGAAGUUAAGGAAGAAAAAAUAAAAAAUGUUGAUUUAUGUAAUAAUAGUACCUUAUCGGUUUAUUUUAACAAUUGUAAAAAUGUUAAUAAACAUAAUUUAUCGAAAAAAAUAUUAAAUGAAAUGAUUAGCAAAACAAACAAAAAUGAAAAUAGUUCAGAUGAAAAAGUCGAUACGGAACGUUUAUUUACAGAAUCUUCAUCUGUAGAAAAAAAAAUUGAUGAAGCUGAAGUAAAAAACAUUUAUAAAAAAAGAAGAACAUUAUUAUCCACAGAAUCGGUCAAAAAAUACUAUAUGCAAAAAAAAAUAAUGUCAAAUAAAAUAGUGUCAAAUAAAAUAAAAAGUGAAAAUAUCUUAAAAGAAAAAAAUAAUAAUAAAAAAACAUAUGAUUUAGACAAAAAAAUAAGUAUGGAAGUAGAAAAACAUGAAAAUGAUAAUUUAAUAAAUUUUUUACCUGUACUUGAUCAGAAUAAUUAUAAUCGUAAUAGCAAUUAUAAUGAUAAUUUUAGUAACACUAACAGUAGUCAUAACAGUAGUCAUAACAGUAGCAUUAGUGGUAAAAAAUAUGAGCCUAUUUAUUUCACAAAUGAGACUAAACAGAAUGUAUACAACGAUAUGGAUAAGAUAUCAGAAAAAAAUGAAACGGGAAGAAAAAGAUCACAAAAAAGAAUGUCUCAAGAAUAUAAUGAAGAAAAAGAACAACAAAAAAUAAAAGAAUAUUUUAAAUAUUUGUCAAAUAAAAAAGAAUCACCAUCAGGAUCACCAUUAAGAUCACCAUCAGGAUCAUCAUCAAAAACAGAUACAUCACUAAAUUUCGAAAAAAAUGUUAACAAUAACAAUAUAAACGUUUUGUCUAAAUCAAAAUAUGUUGAAACAAGUAAUGAUUUAAAAACAAAAAAAAAUUUAUUUUUAUUUCAAAAGAAAGAAAAAACAUGUGAUUGUAAAAAAGACAAAAAUAAAAACGGAAAUCUAUAUUUUGAAGUUGUUAGAGGGAAAAAGCGUAAAAAAUUAUUAAAAGGGUUUGACUGUGUAGAAUGUAGAGAGUUUUAUAAUGAAAUAUUAUCAGAUAGUUCUGAAGAUUUGAAAACAAUAAAUCAAAAACAUAUAACAAUAAAAGACUCAGAAGAUGAAAUAGAAGAAGAAAAAAAAAAAUAUAUCUGUAAAAAUAGUAUAAACAAUGCUAAUCAAGUGAAAAAAGUAAAUAUUUCUAUUGAUAAUAUUUUAACAAAAAAUAAAAAUAAUAAAAAUAAUGUAGAUGAAAAAAAAACAUCAGAAGAAAAUAUAAAUAGUAAAAAAAAUGAUAAUAACAUUGAAACUAUAAAUUAUACAAUUAGUGAUCUAUUAAUUGAAUAUAAUAAAUGUUCAGAAAAUAUUAACAACAGUAAUAAUAAUAAAAAUGAGAACGUUAUUGAUCUGUCUUCUAGCUUAAUUUUAACAACUGAUAUAAAUAACUCGAACAAUAAUGGAAACUACGAUGAUGACUUGUAUAAAAAAAACACAAGUACUUUUUUUAGUACACCACAAAACGGUCAAAUGGAAAAACAAAAAAUCAAAUCCGAUUUUUAUUUAAUUAGUGAUCAAACACAGAAAGAAAAAAAAAAACAAAAUAAAAAAGAAGCUAUUAUUCAAUCUAUUUCACGUCAUAGAUAUCAUAGCAAAGUUAAUGAUUCACCAGAAAAUUUCUGGAGUUUUGAUUUUUUUAAAUAA
rnacentral:lncRNA from 1 species